UACUCGUAAGCAGGCUUAAGUGGGACCUUAAGGGAAUACGAUACAGUAGCAGGGGCAGAUAAUAACGUGUUCAAAACUGUUCGUGUUGUUUUCGCGACGUUGUUAAUCAGAACGUUGUAAUUUCGCGAAGUUUCUAAUAAGAACGAUUACAUUUCGCGACGUCGUUUUAAAUGUAGUCACAUUUGCGGAAAAUCCAGUGACGUCACAAAUCCGGUUGCGCGAAUUUGAAAAAAAAGUACUUGCCAAGAAAAUCGGCCAUAUCACGAAAAUUGUUAUAUUCAUUCAUUAAUAUUGAGGUCAACAGUAUUAACUUGAAAUGUGAAAAAAAAAUUAAAUCCACAUUCAUACUCUUGUAUAUGUUUUAUUUCAUAUAGGAAAUGAAUAACAGAUAUGCAAAUAAUGAUACGUCGAUGAGACAGAAACCCAACUAAACAAAAAGACCAAUAAGUAAUUAAAUGUAAUUUAGAUAUUAACGUACUGUCUUGAUCUAUAUAUAAUAUCUACACCAUUUGGAAAACUGUAUGGAGAAUUGUGCAAAUAAAUUUAACAGACUAUCAACAAAAUGACAAAAUAACAUGAUUAAUAAAGACAACGCCUCAUACUGCACCUGACUUUGAAUGAGUACAUUAAAAAGGUUAACGGCAUUUUUAGAAUUUAACCCAGUGGAAAAUUAUACAUAUGUGUAUGAAAAAGAACUGUCAGUUUAAAAGACACAGUUAUAAGCCCCGUAUUAUAGACGGAAUGACGGACGGACAGACGGACAGGUGUAAAACAAUAUGCCACCCAACUUUCAGUUGCGGGGGUAUAAAAAUACCCUGAAGACAAAUAAACUUAGGCAACUUACCUAUUGAUACAAAAUCAUGCAAUUUCAUGAUCUAAUACCGACUGCUGUACUUCCUAUGAAAUGUUAAACUACACCGUAAUGGACUUUAUUGAGACAAUUACGACAUGAAUUUGCUCGAAACAGCUCUAAAUGUACACCUUUUUGAACAUGUUCAGAGUAGUUCUAAGCUGACCCGAGUUAAUGUGGGUAUGGUUUUGUGUACAUAUAAUGCCUAUAUAGUAGGCCGAUAGUUUUCUUGAUUGAAUUGUUCACAUUUUCAUGUCGGGGCUUUUUAAAGCUUUCUAAACAGUGAGGCUUUUUUUUUUGGUGAAUACCGUGCGGUGACCCUUAAUUGCGUUUAUCUUCGUAAUUUGAAAUAUGGUUGAUAGUUGUCUCAUUGGCAAUCAUACCAACUGUCCUUAUUUAUAUUAUCCCACUUACUUGAUAAUUGCUUGUUAUAUAUUUUGUCAUGUUGGGACCUUUUGAAUAAUUAAAAAUAUGCACAAGCUGUGUUGUCUGCAUGAGUUGAAGUACUAAUGUCGGACUGAGAUGCAAAUUAUUUUUUAUGCCAAAGCGGAGGGGGCAUUAAGUUUUACCCUUGUCCGUCUGUACGUACGUACGUACGUCCCAAAAUUGGUUUCCGUUCUCUAACUUUAGUUUGCCUCAAGCAAAUGUUAUGAAACUUAUACACAACGCUUAUUACCACAAAACACAGAUCAAGUUUGAAUUUUGGUGGCGUCACUUUUACCAUUCUAGAGUUAUGCCCCUUUACAAAUGGAAAAAUUGCUGAAUUUUUCGUUUCCGUUCUCUAACUUUAGUUUGCCUCAACCAAAUGUUAUGAAACUUAUACACAAUGCUUAUUACCACAAAACACAGAUCAAUAGAUAUAAGAAGAUGUGGUAUGAGUGCAAAUGAGACAACUCUCCAUCCAAGUCAAAAUUUAUAAAAGUAAACCAUUAUAGGUCACAGUACGGUCUUCAACACGGAGCCUUGGCUCAUACCGAACAGUAAGCUAUAAAGGGCCCCAAAAAUUACUAGUGUAAAACCAUUCAAACGGGAAAACCAACGGUCUAAUCUAUAUAAAAAACGAGAAACGAGAAAAACUUAUGAACCACAUCAACAAACGACAACUACUGAACAUCAGAUUCCUGACUUAGGACAGGUGCAAACAAAUGCAGCGGGUUUAAAAGUUUUAAUGGUACCAAACCUUCACCCUUUUUCCGAAACAAUAGUGUAACAUCACAACAUAGAAAGACACACUAUAAAAUAUCAACUGAAAUAGCUUAACUCAAUCAAAGGACAUAUUAACACCAUUGAACAUACACUGAACAAAUAAAUUUGACCUAUGACACAAUGUAAAUACAAAAUAAAUAAACUAAGGGAAGAAUAAUAAAAGUAACAUGUUAUAUCGGUAAGAAAUGUUAAACAAUUAAAGAAAAACAAUAUGCUCGAACAAAAAUAUCAGCCAUUUGCACUAACUUUAAACACAGGUAAAUGAAAAUAAUUUUGUUGUUAGGUAUACGUGUAUAGUACCAAUGGAGAAAAGAAAUAUUUUUACAAAAUAAAUAAUUUUGAUGUUCAUAGUACGAAGUGAAAAUUUAUAGUUAUACCAAACACUUAUCAAAGCUGGUAUAUAGACCAGAUAUAACCCUGAAUAACAUUAAAUAACAAAAAAGCAUUACAAUUAGUAUCAACAGGUCAAAUAAACAAGAAAGUACGAUUUGAGAGUACUCGCAGUUACUGACAGCUAGUUAAAAGCCAAAACAAUUAAUGAUAAAAAAUCAUGCAUCAGAGACUAAAAUCAAUUCUAAUAUGACGUGCUUCUUUCGCUUUGUAAACAACACCGUGCUAAAAUUCUCGAUAUAUCUAUACUUAGCGCAAACUCAGAGAUAUACAUAAUCAUGGAUGGUGUAAUAUACCUCCCACGUAAAUCCACAUGUAUUGAAACCUAUGUGCAAGAGCUUUGCCGAUUUUAUUGUUUUAAAAAUUGUAAUUAAAAAAGACAAAAGAACUUUUAUUCUUAUUUGGAUGCACAAUAAAAAGAAUUAAUGCACAAGAGCUGGGAAAAAUCAACAAAUUCAAAAUUAAAUAAAAUUCCGCGAAAGUCUAUUAAUGUUUUUGGCGCAUUUAAGUCAUUUCAAAAUAUGACGUCAUACAAAUGAACACACUAGAGUUGAAGGUUUUCCGUUACGUGAAUCAUCGAAAUUCGUAUAUUAUUGUAUCAAAAUGGAUUUUUGAGGUAGGUUUUGUUUUAUUUUCUAUUCUCUUGCAUCGUUCGCAUAUUUACUGAUUUCAGCAAGUCAACAUGGCGGAUCCUUAGUUACGAAAUGUCAACUUUGUAUUUGACGGAAGCUUCCAAGAAAAAUAUGUAAAUUAAAAAUGGCAAAUGUUGGGUUUGAGAAUUAAAAGAAUUAAACAGAUAUUUUUCUAGCGGUUAUUCACGAAAUAAUCAAUGCAAGCUACCGAUUUAUUAGAAUGUUGGAGGUCUAGGCUAACAGGGAGUAAAAAAGAACAGCCACAAACACGGCAUAGUCACCCUCGCUUCAGUUUUUUAAUGACCGUAUUUGUCCUAUUAGAAUCGAAAUAAUUCAUGGAAGCCAUAGAUUUGUUGUCAAUUUACACAUGGCCUGGGCCGUGAUAUUCGUUAAUUUUAUCCCUCGCUAACGCUCAGGAUAAAAUUCGAAUAUCACGGCCCAGGCCAUGUGUAAAUUUCCAACAAAUCUAUGGCUUCCAUGAAUUAUUUCUUAACUAAAACACAUCCCAGGGAUUUAGUAUUUAACGUCAUGGCCAGUCAAAGAAGACAUGACAAGUUUGAAUUUUGGUGGGGUCACUUUUACCGUUCUAGAGUUAUGCCCCUUAACAAAUGGAAAAAUUUCUGAAAUAUUUGGUUUCUGCUCUCUAAUUUUAGUUUGCCUCAACCAAAUGUUAUGAAACUUAUGCACAAUGCUUAUUACCACAAAACUCAGAUCAAGUACAAAUUUGGGUAGCGUCACUUUUACAGUUCUUGAGUUAUAUCCCUUUAUAACGUUAUAUGCAAGCGGGGGCAUCAUCUGUGUCCCAUGGACACAUUCCCCAUUUAUUUUUAUUGUUAUUAUUAUGUUUUGAUUAUGAAAUAUUUAUUUUUAUCAAAUUUAUCUUUUUAUGUUUCCGAACAUUUCUUUUCUAAAAGUAAUUUACUAGAAUACUUUUUGUAUCCAACAUGUCCAAGAUUCGUAACAAUUCAUAAAGGUUUGGCAAAUAUUUUAUGCUAUUUUACGAGUAACCAGCUUUAAAAAUUUUGAUGAAUAAUAUCAUUGCUUUCGAAUUAAAAAAAAACUUGGCUAUACCACUGAACUUGACAGCGUAAUCAUGAACGGCGGGAAUGAUUUUACGACGUUAUGGCGAUUAAAACUUAUUUCAACGUAGUUUAGCGCCCUAUUGGCAAACGUCCUGUUUGCAAUUAAAAAUAAAGUUUAUUGCUUUUAUUGAAAAAACAAGCACAUGGACCCCCAGUUUUUUUCUUUUGCAAUCAAUCAAGUAAUAUUUAAAGAACACUCCGCCAAAAUUUUAAGAAAAAAUCAACGAUCGAUUUUUUUCUGCACUUCUGUAUAGACGCAAAAAUAUUGUCAAUUUCUUUAUUUCACUAAUAGUAAAGUAAAUUCAGAAAACAACAAUUUUGUUUAACCUUAAACUUGUUACAGCAUGGUUAUGCCAUGGAUCAAGGGAACAUUUUACAAAAAACCCGGUUAAGUUAUGACUGUUCGUUCAAAAGUAUUGUAACUUUCUUUAAAAGUCCUAUUUAUGAAAUCCAGGGUUUUCCCUUCAAAUAUGCAAAUUUCAAACCAAAUUAUCUCAAAAAGUAAGUCAUGAAGGUAUAUUUUUCUUUGCAUAUUUCAAAAGUACACAUCGAAAUUGACCUUCUAUCAAAAUUUCAAGAAAAAAUCAACGAGGGAUCUCUACUGUAUCGUAUGCCCUUAACAAUUAUGCAUACUAGUUCAGAAAAAUGGACGCAAUACUAAACUCAGAAACAUUCAAAUAUACCAAAACUAAAAGAACACAAAAGAUUAACAAAGGCUAGAGGUUUUAACUUGGGACAGGCGCAAACAUGCUGUGGGGUCAAACAUGUUUUGUGAGAUCUCAACCCUUCCCCUAUACCUCUAUCCAAUGUGGAAUAAACAAACACACAGCAAAAAGAAAUGUUAAUUUUUAUAAUUUACUAGGUAUUUCAUAACAUAGGUUUUAAAACGCAUCAAUAGUGAUGAAUAUAUUCUUCAAUGAAUAACAUUCAUGCAAAAACCUGUCCAGGCGCGCAUCCAGUCAUUUUGAAAAAUGGCGGGGUUCCAACCCCUGGAACACUAUGAAAUGUUCACAUAGUUUAAAAAAAAGAACGAAAAAGGGGAAGUUUCCAACCCACGGAACACCCUCACCCUCUACCCCUUGGAUACGUCAAUAAGCCAAGCUUGAAAAACUGUUUGAAACAUAUUGUUUGAAACAUAUUGAUGACGUCGAUAUGUGACAUCGUAUAAACACUAAUGCAAUUGACAAUGAUAAUGUAUUCUAAAUAAAGGCAACAGUUGUAUACCGCUGUUCAAUAGUCAUAAUUCGAUUAAGCAAAAAUAAAUUCGGGUAACAAACUAAAACUGAGGGAAACACAUCAAAUAUUAGAGGAAAACAACGGAACAACAGAAAAACUGAAGUACAACAAAAGCAAACGCCAAGUUGAACAUAACAAUACUAAAAUACUGCAAACUGUAAUAAAAUAAAGACAUAAUGAAUGCAAAUAUUUAUAAAUUAAAAAGUUUUUCUAAACAUUACAAACUAUUCAUUGCAAAGUUGUUGUCCUUUCGGAAUUUUUGUCCAUGCGGGCUUUUUGAUUAAUGGUGGCUACUACUUUCUCUUGAUCAGAUUUCCGAAGUAUCUUUUGUUU